AGAUCAUGAAACUGAGUACACCUACCCAAUGAUUACGGUCUAUUGAUAUUCUAGGUUCAAGGUCAAACUUGCAUGGGUCAUUUUGAAGGCAAAAACUAGAGGCAAUCAAACCUGAUAUUAGGGUGCAGUGUUGGUAGAGAGUACUGAUAAGGAUAGAUAGAGAGUACUGAUAAGGAUGAAGAGUACUGAUAAGGCUAGGAGCAUCAAAACAAGGUGCACACAUAGUCCGCAUGAUGAGAGGAAGGUGUUCGUUAAUUUUCUUUGUAAUUGGUCAAGGUCAUACUUUCAUGGGUGGUAAUUACAAUGGAAAAACUGUACCACCGGUAAUAUUUAAGGCCAAGUCAAAGGAUGAUCAAAUUUAGUAAUUAUUAAGGGAAAACAGUAUUCAUAAGGCUAGGAUCAUCAAAUGUGGUGUACCUGUUGCCCUGGGUGUUGUUAACAGUCUUGAGUAUAUUUUGAUAUUAAAGAAAUAAUUUUGUCUUAGACUUGAACAAUAGAGUGAAAUAUUUCUUCUUUGAUAUUUGACAAAGUUAUAGAAUUAAUCUCAAUCUCAAUCUCUCUCUCUCUCUCUCUCUCUCUCUCUCUCUCUGUGUGUGUGUGUGCUUCCAUUGUUUUUAUACCCUCAUAAUAAACUUAACAUUUACUCAUCAGUUAGGGUUCUAUUUCCUGUUCGUUCUUGUAUGAAUAUGCUGCUAAUAGGGGGAGGGUGUGUCUUAGAAAGUAAUUUAGUGCUCAGAUCAUGCAUCUUUUCACGAAUAAGAAUGUAAAAUUUUGGAGAACUCUGUAGAUGAUGAUAUAAAAGCUUCUGACACCUCUUACGUGAGUGUAGUCAUACACCAUGAGUAUUCUGAGCUUUAGCUAUCGCACUGAUACAAGAGUUGUUUUAUUCAUCUAUCACAUUCAUUCAUGAUAGAUGAAUGUUAUUACGGGACUGUUGCACAGUGUGUCUGUCAGCAUCUUAUGCUUCAGAUGAAAACAGUACUUAUUAGCUUAAGAUCAUGAAACUGAGUACACCUACCCAAUGAUUACGGUCUAUUGAUAUUCUAGGUUCAAGGUCAAACUUGCAUGGGUCAUUUUGAAGGAAAAAACUAGAGGCUAGGCAGGGAUUUAUCGAGAUUCAAUUUACUACCGGUAUAGGGUACCGUUUCCCCCUAUGAUAACAAAUGAAUAUUUCCCCUUCCACAAGUAAACAUCCCCCUUGAAAUGUAGAAACUGCAUGCAAGUAUAUAGGAAUAUUAACAAAACUCUGUAGAUGAUGAUAUAAAAGCUUCUGACACCUCUUACGUGAGUGUAGUCAUACACCAUGAGUAUUCUGAGCUUUAGCUAUCGCACUGAUACAAGAGCUGUUUUUUAAUGAUGAUUGUAUUUGAUUUUGCAUUGUGUAUAUUCACCUAUUUAUUCUCGAUUUCUUUCACAUGCAGCUGUAAAGAUCAAGAAAAACAGAGAUAAUGUGAAGUUCAAGGUCAGAUGUAGCCGUUACCUGUAUACUCUUGUCAUUCACGACAGAGAGAAGGCUGACAAACUCCGACAGUCCCUCCCUCCAGGACUUGCUGUUAAAGAGCUGAAAUAAAUGUUAUACAUAAGAC